CCCAGAAAAUAGGAGGGGAAGGAACACUUACCACCACAUUUUAUGAAGCUAAUAUUACCCUGAUACUAAAACCAGAAAAAGACAGUGAAAAAAAAAAAAAAGAAAGAAAAGUAGAUAUCAAUAUCUUUUCAGCGACUUUUGACCCAAGAUGCGUAGCCCUGGGGCUUUCUGUGCUCCUCGGCCCCUUGGUCUCCACGCAGAGGCUCCUGGGCUCACUCUCUCCUCCCAUCUCCUCUUCUAGGAAGCAUUGAUGCGGCUGUCCAGCCUGUUGGAUCAGCUGCAACCCACCCUGGUCUGUGAGUUAAUGUUUCAGUGACCCAGCUUCUCAUCUUGCGUCGUUGCAAACACUCCAGGUCCCCAGCCAGCUUUCAGUAGGGCAGGGGAAAAAGAGUAUGGACUGAGGGGUCUCCCUGGGCUGGGCCGAGCAGGAGGAGGCUGAGCAGUGAAAACGGUGACCCCUGCCCUCACGGAGCUAACGAGAAGAGCAAAUGGCUGGCAACGGUGCAUGACACAGAAUGAGCAACGGGCUGCACACAUCGCGAUUUACGUGGCUUUGGAAAAAACGCGUCUCACAAGUUGGGGCUGUCAUACAUUGGCUUCUUGGUAAUCAAUGCGUUUCAGCAAUAUAUGGGGGUGAGUUUAGUUUCCAGUUGGCUUCCCUGAGGGUGUUGGAUAAAAUUGCAAUUUAGAUUCAAUCAAUACACAUUUAGUGAGCACCUAUUCUUUGCCUGAACGAUUGUGGGCAUUGUGGGGGAUACAAAGGGAGACAUCGUGGGUGGAGCUUACCAUGGAAACAACUGUCUCUUGCUCCAUGGUGUUUACCUUGCCUUGGAAAAUAAACAACGUAAACAUUUUUUUGUGACAACGGAGACAGGAUUGAGAGACUUGCACAGACUUCCUUUCCCAAAACUUCUGCAGACUAAAAUUCUACCAUUAGCUAUUAAUUUCUUUGACUAAAUUUUGUCCUCACUCUGCAGUUUCUUUUUUCUAAAGUAAAAAUACUUCUAGAAAGAGAACACGACGUCCUUAACCUCUUAAAACAGAAAUGACAUAUAAAUCGACUUGCACACCAAUUUGGGCCCUUGGAUAUUUGUUGCCUGAAGAGCUGUGUUGAAAAGGCCUCUGAGGCUCAAUCUGGCCUCUGAUGCAAAGAAUGUCGAUCGAUUGCUGAUGUCUGCCCUGAGUGCUGGAAGGGAGGAUGGCAUUUACUAUCCCUGCCUUAAAUUAGAGGAGCUUAUGGGGUUCUUCCCCAACUAUAACAAGAGGGGUUAAAUGAACACUAAUCAUCUGAUAGGACAGCCACUGAAGGAGGUGAGGGGAAUUUAAGAAGGAAAGGCUGUGACUGCCAAUCUCCUAAUGUCACCUGCAUGGCCGUCAGUCACCUGCAGCCCUUGUCAGUGCACCCAAAGCCUUUGCAGAUGUCAACCCAGCUGGCUUUCCAGCCAUGUCUCACCAUACCCCAGUGCUCCUCUGCUCCAGCCCCACUGAACUCUGCCAGACCUGGACGUGCCCUUAUACAUGUGCUUCCUAGACAUCCCAGAACAUCUGUGCCCAUUGUCUCUGCACAGGGAAUUCUUAUGUAACUCCAUGAACACCUACCCUAAGUGUCACUUCCUGUGAGAAGUCCUCCCUGAUUCACUCCCUCCUCUGUUUACCCACCCACUGGAGACCCAGCUCUGCAUGGCAGUCUUCACACUCUAUCAUCUUUGUCCUUCCUUCUUUUUUUUUUGAGUCAAGCUUUCACUCUGUCGCUCAGGCUGGAGUGUAGAUCACAGCUCGCUGCAGCCUCCAACUCAGCUAAAGCGAUCCUUCCUCCUCAGCCUCCAGAGCAGCUGGGACUACAGGUGCAUGCCACCAUGCCCAGGUAAUUUUUUUCUUUUUUGUAGAGACAGGGUCUUGCAAUGUUGCCCAGGCUGGCCUCGAACUCCUGGCCUCAAGCACCUCCCACUUCGGCCUCCCAAAGUGCUGGGAUUAUAGGCAUGAGCCACUGUGUCCAGCCCAUCCUUGUCCUUUCACAUGUGUCACCUUUCUCGUGAGACUAAGAGGUCUGUGGGAGCAGGGUUAGUGCCUGGUCUCUGUGAUCCAGUCCCCAGCCCCAGGCCUGACACACAGCUGGUGCUCAACAACCACUGGCUGAAUAUUGGAAUGAAUAAAUGAACGAACUUUGUCAGUGUGGCAGAUGCUAUGCCUAUGCUGAGACUGCUGUUUUUUCACAUGCCCCUGCUUCUCCUGUGUUCCUGCAGUAGCACACUGCCGGUGGUAAAUGAAUCCCCAAGUAUGAAUGCUUCACAGAACAAAGUUUAAUUUCCCCUCCCACAAAGUCCAGUGCAGAUUGUGCAGCCCUCCGGAACACUUGUCUUGGUAUUAACCACAUCUUUUAUUUCCUGCAUUCCAAUGCUCUGACAUCUGGGGCCUCGCUGACCCCCUAGAGUUAGCCAAUUUCUAGAGAUACAAGUUGCCAUGACAGCACUUUUCAGAUGCAAACAACCCACCCAAACCAAACAAAGCCUUCUUUUCCCUCCACCUCCUAACUGACCUUGGUGCUUCCCCGUGUGGCUCUGUGUGGCGUGGCAGGCGGUGUCCCCUCCUCCUGGGAACUGUGAGUAACAAACUACUUUUUCAAUAGCAAUCAUCUCCUGAUCUGUUGGCUUCACUAUACCUCAAAAUUUCUACUGAUACACUGUGUUUUGAAACAGGCUUCCACUGAGUGACUCAGCGAUCCAGUCUGCUUUCAUAGGUGGCUCUAAUGAGGCAGAAAUUUAAAAAUAAAUAUGCAUUCAUUCACUCCAAGAAAAGUAACAGGCAAGGGUUCACAAGAAAAAAAGAAGUUUUCCUCUGCCUAGCAAGCACACUUCAAGGACAGUUAUAAGAUAAUGCUGUACGAGCAGCCAAGGCCAAAGGAAUGGGCUUCAGACACCCCUCUCCCCCAGAGCAAUGUUGAAGGAAAAAAAAAGAGAAAAAGAUAAAUUACUUUACUGUUACUCCUUUCCCAGGCUUCUUAAACGUGAUUAUGUUUUACAAAUGUCUGUAUUUAGCCAGUUCUUGUUUUUCUUUUGACGCAGCUACAAGGCCACAAAUUAUACACUAUAUGAUUAACUGCUUUUGUUUUACUUUUGUAAGUCUGCUUAUAAAAACCCCACUCAGUCGUUGUUCAAUGCUCAGCUUUUUGGAUGCGAAUCCACUGAGCCAGUGCGUACCUAAAAUAAACAAUCCUCCCGUUCUCCGUA